CAAGUCGAACGGGAAUCUUCGGAUUCUAGUGGCGGACGGGUGAGUAACGCGUAAGAAUUUAACUUCAGGACGGGGACAACAGUUGGAAACGACUGCUAAUACCCGAUAUGCCGCGAGGUGAAACCUAAUUGGCCUGAAGAAGAGCUUGCGUCUGAUUAGCUAGUUGGUGGGGUAAGAGCCUACCAAGGCGACGAUCAGUAGCUGGUCUGAGAGGAUGAGCAGCCACACUGGGACUGAGACACGGCCCAGACUCCUACGGGAGGCAGCAGUGGGGAAUUUUCCGCAAUGGGCGAAAGCCUGACGGAGCAACGCCGCGUGAGGGAGGAAGGUCUUUGGAUUGUAAACCUCUUUUCUCAAGGAAGAAGUUCUGACGGUACUUGAGGAAUCAGCCUCGGCUAACUCCGUGCCAGCAGCCGCGGUAAUACGGGGGAGGCAAGCGUUAUCCGGAAUUAUUGGGCGUAAAGCGUCCGCAGGUGGUCAGCCAAGUCUGCUGUCAAAUCAGGUUGCUUAACGACCUAAAGGCGGUGGAAACUGGCAGACUAGAGAGCAGUAGGGGUAGCAGGAAUUCCCAGUGUAGCGGUGAAAUGCGUAGAGAUUGGGAAGAACAUCGGUGGCGAAAGCGUGCUACUGGGCUGUAUCUGACACUCAGGGACGAAAGCUAGGGGAGCGAAAGGGAUUAGAUACCCCUGUAGUCCUAGCCGUAAACGAUGGAUACUAGGCGUGGCUUGUAUCGACCCGAGCCGUGCCGAAGCUAACGCGUUAAGUAUCCCGCCUGGGGAGUACGCACGCAAGUGUGAAACUCAAAGGAAUUGACGG
rnacentral:rRNA from 1 species